UAGAAAAUAGCUUAAUGAAUUUCCUCAAAAUUGAUGUGCUUUGUGAAUAGUUGGAGCCACCUGGUGGACAAAUACCGCAACUGCAACUGUUAAGGUUCCAAAUCGCUGCACAGCGCAUGCCUCAGCAAAGGAAAAUACUCCCAAGCUGGUGAACUGAAUGUUGCAGUUGCUUAGCACACUGUUAAUGACGACUGUUUUCUUUGUACCAGUUGCCAGAAUAAAGAGGGAGCCCAAAGUAAGGGCAAGUCCAGCGUUGCAGUGCCGUCCUUCCUACAUGGGCAUAUCACACCACUUGCACGAUAGACUCACAGAACAGCAACAGCUACAUUGGUGCCGUGACUCUGCGAUUUGAGAUCAACUUGAUGCGGAUCUCCAACCCAGGUUGCAGUGUAUUGAGCUUAAAGAUUCAUCCUUUGCCCGUCUUGGACUGUGAAUUGCGUUGAGGUACUGGACUGUUUGUUCUUUGGUUUGAUGGGACUCUCUCCGGACUGCUUGUGCUGACACCUGCGACUC